rnacentral:lncRNA from 1 species
GCCAGCCCUCCCCAGCGCAUGCCGCGCCCUCUGGCGGCCGCCGCGGGGACGCGCCCUGGGCACGCGGGGCAGCCCGUCUGGGCCCCCCUUCCCCGGCUGGGGGCCCGCGGCGGGUGGUGGGCCGUCUCCCCUCGCGUCCCUGGGCCGAGCCACGCGGGCCGCGCCCUUCCCCCUCAGCUCCCCGCGAGCCCCAGAACUCUGGGCUCCACAGUCGCGACGCUGCGGCCGCCCCAGCCUUGCGUGAAAGUGCCCGCCUUAGUAGCCUGGGGGUCUCCUUUCUCCCAGGUGCGCCCCUCCCGCCUCGUUCGGGCUUUCCAGCAUGCUGCGAAAAAAUGCCGCAUGCACGCACUUAUUUAUUUAUUUUGCAACAGCUGCAAGAAACAAUGAAGCUUUUCAAGAACCGGGGAAACGCGCUUUCCAGCCGUGCUGUUGUUUUCAAUGAACCUCUCGGGCCCCGCACUCUCCGCCUACCCCGCCCCCUCCCCUCCUCCCCUCUUCUCCUCCCCAGCCAGCCCCUCCGUCCCCCGGGCCGGCGCCGGGGGCAUUGUUUUUGGAGUCUUGCGGGAGGGGAAGGCGCGUGCAGGGUGGCCAGCGCAGUGCGGGUGGGGGCGAGAGCGUGUGCACGCGCGCGGGCGCGGGUGUGUGUGCGCGCGUGUGCUGGCGCGGGCGGGGGGCGGGGACGGCGCCUUGCCGCCUCGCACCCCACGCCCGGGCUCCGCUCCGCACGUCCCUGGGAUCCCGGGCUCCGGCUCUUGGCGCGCGCCGGCCUGGGCCGGGCCCUCGGCGCGCCGCGGCUGCGGCUGUGGCCGCUCCAGGGUGCGCGCGGGCGCGUGUGCGCGGGCCCGAGCGCGCGCGCGCGAGCCCCCAGUGUGUGGCAGCGGCGGCGGCAGCGGCGCGGCGAGGCUGAGGCUCUUGUUUACCAGCAUUAACUCCGCUGAGCGGAAAAAAAAAAAAAAGGGAAAAAACCCGAGGAGGAGCGAGCGCACCAGGCGAACUCGAGAGCGGCGAGCGAGCGGGAGGGACGCCGCCAGCGAGCCUGCCCCCGGCGCACCCGAGCCGGCGCUUGCAGACCCUCGGCCCCGCGCCCCGGGCCCUCCACGCCCCUCCCGCGCGAGGGGAGCCCCACGGCGCGCCGCGCGCCUCGGCUUUGACCUUCAGCGAGCCGGAGCCCCCGCGCGCGGAGCCGGCGGCGGCGGGCGGGGGCCGGGCGGGGGCCGGCGCGGGGCGGGCGGCGGCGGCGCGGAGCCCGGGCGGCGCGGCGGGAGUGCCGAGCGCGGCGCGGCCGGCCCGCCGCUUUGUGUGUGUCCUGGAUUUGGGAAGGAGCUCGCGGCGGCGGAGGCGGCGGCGCUGAGGGAGGCGGCGGCGGCGAGCGGAGCCCGGAGGAGGCGGAGGAGGGGGAGCCGCUCAUUCAUUUUUCCUCCGCAUUUCUGCCCCCGGCCGGCCUCGCCCGCCACCCGGACUUCGGGGCAAUCUUGCGAACUGCGUCGCGCCCUCCCGGCGCGGGGGCUCGAGCGGCCGGCAGCCUCCCCCUCUGUCUGGGGUCGGGGUGGUUUUGCCUCGUCGAGACGGAUUUGCGCUUUGCCCCGUUUCUGUGCAGUUUUUUCCCCCUCCUGCUUCUAUGGGUUUGAAAAUGGAGGCCGACGACGCCGACAGCCCGCCCCGACGCGCCUCGGGUUCCCGAUUCCGCCGAGCGCUGGGCCGCGGUUCCCGGCGCUGAGGGGCCGCCCCGCUCCGCCGCCCGCCCCGUCCGCGCAGCCCGCCGGGCCGCCCGGCGCCGCCUUCCAGGACUGUUUCCUCGCCCUGGUUUGUGGAGGGGGGGCGAAGACUGAGUUUGAGACUUUCUUUUCCUUUCCUUUUUUUUUUUUUUUCGUUUUUUUUUUUUGGAGAAGGGAA